UAGGGAAUUUUUCACAAUGGGCGCAAGCCUGAUGGAGCAAUACCGCGUGACUGAAGAAGGUUUUCGGAUCGUAAAAGUUUGUGGCGAGGGAAGAAUUUUUUUUGAGGAAAUGUGAAUAAAAAUGACGGUACCUCGUUAGAAAGCCAUGACUAAUUACGUGCCAGCAGUCGCGGUAAUACGUAAGUGGCCAGCAUUAUCCGGAUUAAUUGGGCGUAUAGUAUGCGUAGACGGUGGAGAAAGUUAAAGGUUCAAGAAUGAGGCUCAACCUCAUAAUGCUUUUAAGACUUCUUUACUAGAGGUUGGGAGACGUUAGUGGAAUUUCAUGUGUAGCGGUGGAAUGCGUGGAGAUAUGAAAGAACACCAAGAGCGAAGGCAACUAACGUGCCCAAAUCUGACGUUGAGGCAUGAGAGCACGGGGAGCRAAUCGGAUUAGAUACCCGAGUAGUCCGUUGCUGUAAACGAUGAGUACUAGAUGUUACACAAUGUAGUGUCGUAGUUAACACGUUAAGUACUCCGCCUGGGGAUUACGAACGCAAGUUUAAAACUCAAAGGAAUUGGCGGGAGCCCGCACAAGCGGUGGAGCAUGUGGUUUAAUUCGAAGAUACGCGAAGAACCUUACCAGGACUUGACAUUUAGCGCAAGCCCAUAGAAAUAUGGUGGAGGUUAACGUUAAACAGAUAGUGCAUGGUUGUCGUCAGUUCGUGCCGUGAGGUGUAGGGUUAAGUCCUUCAACGAACGCAACCCUCGUUGCUAGUUGCUAACAUUUAGUUGAGUACUUUAGCAAGACUGCCGGUCUUAAAGCCGGAGGAAGGAGAGGAUGACGUCAAAUCAUUAUGCUUCUUACGUCCUGGGCUACACACGUGCUACAAUGGCAGAUACAAUGAGUCACAAAUCCGUGAGGAUGAGUUAAUCUCCAAAGUCUGCCUCAGUUCGGAUCGAAGUCUGCAACUCGACUUCGUGAAGUCGGAAUCGCUAGUAAUCGCGAAUCAGCAAUGUCGCGGUGAAUACGUUCUCGGGCUCUGCACACACCGCCCGUCAAACCAUGAAAGUUGGUAGUGCUAGAAGUUAAUUAUCCAACCUGUUUACAGGAAGAUGUUAACUACGGCAAAACUGAUGAUUGGGGUU
rnacentral:rRNA from 1 species